rnacentral:lncRNA from 1 species
CGUAGCAUGGGGUCCUGGUCUUCCUGUCAUAACAUGCAUAAAGUCUCGUGCCAGGCCGUAGCAUGGGGUCCUGGUCUUCCUGUCAUAUCAUAUAUUAAGCCUCGUGCCAGGCCGUAGCAUGGGGUCCUGGUCUUCCUGUCAUAACAUACAUUAAGUCUCAUGGACUAAUUGGAUCAUACAGCAUUCACCCACGACCACAAAGGAAAAUGCAAUGCAACAUAUUCGUGAACUAAUGCAAUCAGCCUAUUACAUAUCAUCAUGAUGCGUGAAGCAUGCUCAAAACAUUCAGUUAUUUGAUUUAAAACAUUAAGCUUGUUUCCACUCACCUCUGGCUAGCUCUGACCAGACACUGAAGCAGCUCACUCGCUGCUGGGGUCCUCGGUUCCUCGGGUCCGAACCUACACAGGUGGACUCUAAUGAGGGACCAAACAUAUAUAAACAUAACUCUAAUAUAUCCCCCAAAAACCCCCUAAAACAUCAUGAAAACAUCACAGAAAAUAUGCAUGAAAUGGCUGAACAGGGCACCUUCGGCGGCACCUUCGGCGGCCGAAAGUCCUGGACAGAGACGAAACUCAGCUAGGUUCGGCGGCACCUUCG